rnacentral:lncRNA from 1 species
AAUAGAUUAAAACCAAAGUCUAGAACUAAAUUAGACAAAGAGUGAGAGUGCGCAAGGCGGAAAGAACCCUUAUUACAAAUGCAUGUAGUGUCAAAGCAUAGACAAAAGUGCAGUAAAGGUGAGAAAAUUCUCACCUUGGGGAGGACGGAUAUUACACAAGUAACAGGAAAUAAACUUCCUACAUUAUUAGAAGUAGAUGUCAAAAUCCCCUAAUGAACCCUUGCUCACCAUAGAGUCCAGCUAUUAAGUCCUGGAGGAACGCAAAACAAAAAUAUGAGUGGGCAAAAUAAGUAUUUACCAAAACCUUUGCUUUUCGUAACCCAGUGACAUUUAGUUGUAAAACCCAUAGUUUCCAAAAUCAUAAUAUGUAUAAGUAUGCAAAACCAACGUGAAUGGUAUAAAAGUAGUUAUACUAAGGAUACAUGCAAAUCACAACUAUCUCAACAAAUGUAACCAAUAUGCUCAUAAAAAAAAAUGCAACACACGCAAGUCUAUGUAUAAAGUAGCUACAUGAACAGGUUAGGCAUAAUAAUCUACGUUUGAGCAUUACAUACAUGUGAAGCUAGCGCUAAGCGCAUCACCUACGAGUCCUAAAUGCAAAAACAACUAGUACAUGUUGGCAUCUAUAAUGAAUCCAAAAUGAGCAUAAUAGUGCGAUGUAAACAUAUACAUGAAGUUGGUCUUGGCCAGAACGAGUACUAUAGACAUCCGUGUAAGCAUGCAUGAUGAGCAAGUAAAAUAUGUAUGAUUAUGCCACCAUAAUUUCAUAAAUCUCAUCUCAACCUCAACAUGUAACAUUUCUAAGUAACGGUGUGGCAUGGUGUAAAACAUUCAUAAAGCCAUCAUCGAGACUAUAUAAAUAUAGUAGAUGUUUGAAAACAAAACCCACUCACUCAUAUGUUGUUGGAUUGUAGCCGCCUUACCUUGUCUAACCUUUGUAAUUCUCGGAGUAAGUCUCUCCUAUAUGGGAAACCACUAUACUAUUUAUUACACUAAUUUAAGGGUGCAA